GAUGAACGCUAGCGGCAGGCUUAACACAUGCAAGUCGAGGGGCAGCGGGAUGUAGCAAUACAUUGCCGGCGACCGGCGCAAGGGUGCGUAACGCGUGAGCAACAUGCCCGUUACAGGAGGAUAACCGGUGGAAACGCCGACUAAUACCCCAUAGUAUAGACGAAAGGCAUCUUUUGUUUAUUAAAGAAAUUCGGAAACGGAUAGGCUCGCGUGACAUUAGCUAGAUGGCGGGGUAACGGCCCACCAUGGCGACGAUGUCUAGGGGUUCUGAGAGGAAGGUCCCCCACACUGGAACUGAGACACGGUCCAGACUCCUACGGGAGGCAGCAGUGAGGAAUAUUGGUCAAUGGUCUGACGACUGAACCAGCCAUGCCGCGUGAAGGUCACGGCCCUAUGGGUCUUAAACUUCUUUUGUAAGGGAGCAAUAAGUUCUACGUGUAGGACGAUGAGAGUACCUUACGAAUAAGCAUCGGCUAACUCCGUG
rnacentral:rRNA from 1 species